AGGUUAACCGCAUAGGGGAGCCGUAGGGAAACCGAGUCUUAACUGGGCGACAGUUGCUUGCAUUAGACCCGAAACCGAGUGAUCUAGCCAUGGGCAGGUUGAAGGUUGAGUAACAUCAACUGGAGGACCGAACUCACUAACGUUGAAAAGUUAGGAGAUGACCUGUGGCUAGGGGUGAAAGGCCAAUCAAACUCGGAGAUAGCUGGUUCUCCCCGAAAGCUAUUUAGGUAGCGCCUCGGACGAACACUACUGGGGGUAGAGCACUGUUAAGGCUAGGGGGUCAUCCCGACUUACCAACCCUUUGCAAACUCCGAAUACCAGUAAGUGCUAUCCGGGAGACACACGGCGGGUGCUAACGUCCGUCGUGGAGAGGGAAACAACCCAGACCGCCAGCUAAGGUCCCCAAGUUAUCGCUAAGUGGGAAACGAUGUGGGAAGGCUCAGACAGCCAGGAUGUUGGCUUAGAAGCAGCCAUCAUUUAAAGAAAGCGUAAUAGCUCACUGGUCGAGUCGGCCUGCGCGGAAGAUGUAACGGGGCUAAGCGAUACACCGAAGCUGCGGCAAUGNGGAGAGGGAAACAACCCAGACCGCCAGCUAAGGUCCCCAAGUUAUCGCUAAGUGGGAAACGAUGUGGGAAGGCUCAGACAGCCAGGAUGUUGGCUUAGAAGCAGCCAUCAUUUAAAGAAAGCGUAAUAGCUCACUGGUCGAGUCGGCCUGCGCGGAAGAUGUAACGGGGCUAAGCGAUACACCGAAGCUGCGGCAAUGUCCUUAUGGAUAUUGGGUAGGGGAGCGUUGUGUAAGCYGUUGAAGGUGWGCUGAGAGGCWUGCUGGAGGUAUCACAAGUGCGAAUGCUGACAUGAGUAACGAUAAAGGGGGUGAAAAACCUCCUCGCCGGAAGACCAAGGGUUCCUGUCCAACGUUAAUCGGGGCAGGGUAAGUCGGCCCCUAAGGCGAGGCCGAAAGGCGUAGUCGA
rnacentral:rRNA from 1 species